rnacentral:misc_RNA from 1 species
UUUCCGUAGGUGAACCUGCGGAAGGAUCAUUAAAAAUGAAGCCGGGAUACCGGUCCCUCUAACCCUUGAUUAUCUUAAUUUGUUGCUUUGGUGGGCCGCGCAAGCACCGGCUUCGGCUGGGUCGUGCCCGCCAGAGGACACAACUCUGUAUCAAAUGUCGUCUGAGUACUAUAAAAUAGUUAAAACUUUCAACAACGGAUCUCUUGGUUCUG